rnacentral:rRNA from 1 species
CCUACGGGGGGCAGCAGUGAGGAAUAUUGGUCAAUGGACGAGAGUCUGAACCAGCCAAGUAGCGUGAAGGAUGACUGCCCUAUGGGUUGUAAACUUCUUUUAUAUGGGAAUAAAAUGUUCCACGUGUGGGAUUUUGUAUGUACCAUAUGAAUAAGGAUCGGCUAACUCCGUGCCAGCAGCCGCGGUAAUACGGAGGAUCCGAGCGUUAUCCGGAUUUAUUGGGUUUAAAGGGAGCGUAGGUGGAUUGUUAAGUCAGUUGUGAAAGUUUGCGGCUCAACCGUAAAAUUGCAGUUGAAACUGGCAGUCUUGAGUACAGUAGAGGUGGGCGGAAUUCGUGGUGUAGCGGUGAAAUGCUUAGAUAUCACGAAGAACUCCGAUUGCGAAGGCAGUUCACUGGACUGCAACUGACACUGAGGCUCGAAAGUGUGGAUAUCAAACAGGAUUAGAUACCCGGGUAGUC